rnacentral:rRNA from 1 species
CACGUAGGGCGCAAGCGUUGUCCGGAAUUAUUGGGCGUAAAGAGCUCGUAGGCGGUCUGUUGCGUCCGCUGUGAAAACUCGGGGCUUAACCCCGAGCCUGCAGUGGAUACGGGCAGACUAGAGGUAGGUAGGGGAGAAUGGAAUUCCCGGUGUAGCGGUGAAAUGCGCAGAUAUCGGGAGGAACACCGGUGGCGAAGGCGGCAUCCUGGACCACGACUGACGCUGAGUGAGCGAAAGCCAGGGGAGCAAACGGG